rnacentral:rRNA from 1 species
CAGUCGCCGCGGGAAUACGAAGGGGGCUAGCGUUGCUCGGAAUGACUGGGCGUAAAGGGCGCGUAGGCGGAUGGCACAGUCAGAUGUGAAAUUCCCGGGCUUAACCUGGGGGCUGCAUUUGAUACGUGUUGUCUAGAGUGAGGAAGAGGGUCGUGGAAUUCCCAGUGUAGAGGUGAAAUUCGUAGAUAUUGGGAAGAACACCGGUGGCGAAGGCGGCGACCUGGUCCUUUACUGACGCUGAGGCGCGAAAGCGUGGGGAGCAAACAGGAUUAGAUACCCCUGUAGUCCCUGUCUCUUAUAC